AAAGAUACCCAACAAGAUAGCAAAAAUCAGAUUGCUAACAUUUCGUUGGGUAUGGUUUGGUAUGUCAACUAAGUAGAAGAAAACAUCAGAAAGAAGAAAAAAAAAUGGGAAUUUUGGCAGGCAUAGGGGUUUUGUUGCCAUUCCCAUUUUACUACUUGUUAUGGACAUAUCCACAGUCAUGGGUGAACCUUUGUGGGAAAGGAAGGGACCCAUCAAAGGUGAUGGCCCUUGUCUCCCAUUUCAUCAAGCUAAUUCAGUUCGUUUCUCUCUUUUCCGUUUCUUCCUUCUCUUGGCCUCCCCCUCUUUACUUUUGGCCCCUCUUUGCCUUCGGUCAGUUCCUCAACUUCAGGGUGUAUCAAUUGCUUGGUGAAUCUGGAACUUAUUACGGUGUACGCUUUGGAAAGAAUAUUCCAUGGGUAAGGGAAUUCCCUUUUGGGUUCAUUAAAGAUCCACAGUAUGUUGGGAGCAUCAUGAGUCUUGUAGCAUGUCUAUCUUGGGUACCGUUUCAAUAUAUUCUCCUUUGGUCGUUGGGCUAUCUAUUUAUGAUCCACAUCGAAUCAACUGAAGAUGUGACAACACGUGCAAAGCCUUUUUCCUAAUUGUUUGAGGUUGCAGUCAGCUCUUUACUUAUUUCUGAAAAACGUUUCCAUGGUGAGAAUUGGGCUCCUUUGUUGUUGUGAAUUUGGAAAUAAAUCCAUGUUUAUGAGGAUACAACUGAAAGCUAAAAAUUUGGGUCGGUUCAAGUAGAAUUUGAUGGGAGCAUGCGAAGUCCGUGGUGACGCUGAUUAUGUAAGGCAAAGUAUGGUCCUCUAAUGAGUCGUCUUCAGAUAAGAUAACUUGGCGAGAUAUAUAUUGAGGUUAACCUAAUAGGAUAUACUUUAUGUGAGGUAUAAUAAUUGUUGUUUAGUCGAAAGUGAUCUUCUUUAAGACAAGAAGCAUAAGGUAUAACGAGUAUUCAGAUCACAUGUGUGAGUAAUAUGUUAGACAAUUGUGGAGUUGACGGAAGCGUGUUUUAGUGGAACACCUUGCGCUAGCUACAUUUUGUUUCUAUUAAGGACAUUCAGGUAUCAAAUGUAACAUCGACAAUGUCUGGGUAA